rnacentral:lncRNA from 1 species
AUGUACAGAUCCUUAUUACAGGGGCCUUCCUGUUGGCUGAGGGUAUGGAAAAUGCACCAGCAGCCUCCAUCAUCUUGUUUAGCCUGCCUUGGGAUCCUUCCUUCAAUAUUGGGGCAGGAUUGCAUACCUGUGGAGGCUCCAGUCUGUGCAUCGUCAUAUCCAGCAGAGGCAGUGUCAACUAUGAAAGUGGUCGGGGGCAUGGAGAUACUCAUGGUCUAGUGAGAAGAAGAAUGUGACUGUGACAUGCCAAGCAAGUGGUGAGUUCUGGUGCAGACUAAGAGGUCCAGGGUACUGGUGGCUCCAUCUGCCGCCCUUCUUCACCAACCCUGACGGAUCACCCACUGGCAAACCUGAGAAGGGUGAAAAUAUUCCCAAAUCCAAGGACUUGAGAGGAACAGUCAAUGACUCACCUUCCUAAAUAAAUAUUUAAUAUUACUUUAUAAAUUGUCA